GAUGAACGCUGGCGGCGUGCCUAAUACAUGCAAGUCGAGCGAACAGAUGAGGAGCUUGCUCCUCUGACGUUAGCGGCGGACGGGUGAGUAACACGUGGAUAACCUACCUAUAAGACUGGGAUAACUUCGGGAAACCGGAGCUAAUACCGUAUAAUAUAUUGAACCGCAUGGUUCAAUAGUGAAAGACGGUUUUGCUGUCACUUAUAGAUGGAUCCGCGCCGCAUUAGCUAGUUGGUAAGGUAACGGCUUACCAAGGCAACGAUGCGUAGCCGACCUGAGAGGGUGAUCGGCCACACUGGAACUGAGACACGGUCAAGACUCCUCCGGGAGGCAGCAGUAGGGAAUCUUCCGCAAUGGGCGAAAGCCUGACGGAGCAACGCCGCGUGAGUGAUGAAGGUCUUCGGAUCGUAAAACUCUGUUAUUAGGGAAGAACAAAUGUGUAAGUACCUAUGCACGUCUUGACGGUACCUAAUCAGAAAGCCACGGCUAACUACGUG
rnacentral:rRNA from 1 species